UACAGAGGUCUCAAGCGUUGUUCGGAUUCAUUGGGCGUAAAGGGUGUGUAGGUGGCGCCGUAAGUGGGGUGUGAAAUCUCGGGGCUUAACUCCGAAACUGCAUUCCAUACUGCGGUGCUUGAGGACUGGAGAGGAGACUGGAAUUCGAUGGUGUAGCAGUGAAAUGCGUAGAGAUCAUGAGGAAGACCAGUGGCGAAGGCGGGUCUCUGGACAGUUCCUGACACUGAGACACGAAGGCCAGGGGAGCAAACGGG
rnacentral:rRNA from 1 species